CAUCGGUCCUCUAUAAUAAGUCAGAAGUUCCUGGGCACUGGUCAUUCAGCCAUGUCCCUCCGUGUCCUCCUGACAGUGGUGGUUUCUGUUCUCUAUCUGUCCCCGGUAAUGUUAACCCGGGCUAGGGACAGGACAGAGGGGACUCCCGGUCCAUCUUACGUGGCAGCAGUCUACGAGCACCGGGUGAUUUUGAACCCAGAGCCGCACGUGCCUCUGUCUCGGGCCGCGGCGCUCGAGCACAUGAUGAGGAACUUGAAGGUCUAUGAGGAGCAGGCCGCGCGGGCAGCAGAACAGGGGGCUCAGAUCAUUGUAUUUCCAGAGGACGGUAUCCAUGGGUUCAACUUCAGUCGUCUGUCCAUCUCUGGUUACCUUGAGACCAUCCCUGACCCACUGACUGAGGACUGGAACCCCUGUACACAGCCUGACAGACACAAUCACACUGAGGUCCUCCAGAGUUUGAGCUGCAUGGCUCGACGUCACCAACUAUACCUGGUGGCCAACAUGCCUGACCUCCAGCCCUGCCCUCUGACCUCUCAUCCCCACCUUGACCCCUCUCAAACCCCCUGCCCCCCCGAUGGGCGCUGGCAGUUCAACACUGAUGUAGUCUUCAGGUCUGAUGGUUCCCUGGCGGCUCGCUACCACAAACAAAACCUGUACUUCGAGAAGGAAUUCGAUACCCCGCCCAGACUAGAGGUGGUGACCUUUGACACGCCCGUUCGCCGGACGGUUUGGAGUGUUCACCUGCUUUGACAUCCUGUUUCAUGACCCUACUGUCAGACUACUGGAGAAGGGUAUAAGACAGAUGAUCUUCCCCACAGCCUGGAUGAAUCUGCUUCCUCUACUAACAGCGAUUCAGAUCCAGAGAGCGGUCAGUCUGGGAGCUAACGUCACUCUGCUGGCGGCUAACCUCAGGCAUGACAGCAAGGCUAUGACGGGCAGCGGCAUCUUCACCCCUAGUACUUCCAUCUAUCACCACGCCUUCCACCACCCUGGGGGGCCAGAGGAGGGGAAGCUGCUGGUGUUGAGGAUACCUGUACUGGACAGUGACUGGCUGGCAACACAGAAGCAGGCAAAGAGGCAGGGGGAGAAAGGAGGAAAGGGUGAGGCAAAGGAGCAGAUAGGAGAAGAGGGUGAGGCAAAGGGGCAGGGGGAGACAGGAGGAGAGGGUGACAGUGAACCUCUCUCUGCUUCUCUUCCUACUCGCUCUCCCAAUCCCUCCCCAUCCCCCUCUCACUUCAUCUCCUCUAUGAUGUGUGACCCGUUCUCCUUCGUCCUGCUGCAUGGUUCUGAGGGCCAGCUGACUGUGUGUGACGGUCCUCUCUGCUGCCACCUGCAGUACCGACGGUCCCCACAGGGUGGCAAUACGGAGCUCUAUGCUCUAGGGGCAUUCGCUGGCAAUCACACGGCUGAAGGACACUUCGCCAUGCAGGUGUGUGCGUUGGUCCGGUGCUCGGGGUCAGAGGUCAGCUCCUGUGGAAAGGAAGUGGAGGAGGCAGAGUCUAGAGUGGACUUCCGGUUGGAGGGGAAGUUCGGAACGCGUUAUGUUUACCCGUCGUUGCUAGGUAGCGGCAUGGUUGUAGAUAAACCCGACCGGAUCGAGAAGACCACCGAUGGUCGAGUGACCAUGGAACACUCAGGGAUGUCUGUCGGACUGGUGACUGCAUGUCUCUACGGCAGGGUGUACGACCAGGACUAGGGUGUGUGUGUGUGAGUGUAAGUGUGAGAGAGAGAGCGAGAGCGAGAGAGAGAGAGAAAGAGAGAAAAUAAAGUAAAUAAAUGUUCUCCAAUCUC